AACGAACGCUGGCGGCGUGCCUAACACAUGCAAGUCGUGCGAGAAAGUUCCUUCGGGAGCGAGUAAAGCGGCGCACGGGUGAGUAACACGUAGGUAACCUGCCCCCAGUCUGGAACAACUAGAGGAAACUCUAGCUAAUGCCGGAUGAGACCACGAUCCCUUCGGGGGUUGCGGCCAAAGAUGGCCUCUACUUGUAAGCUAUCGCUGAGGGAUGGGCCUGCGGGCCAUUAGCUUGUUGGUGAGGUAACGGCUCACCAAGGCUGUGAUGGCUAGCUGGUCUGAGAGGAUGACCAGCCACACUGGGACUGAGACACGGCCCAGACUCCUACGGGAGGCAGCAGUGGGGAAUAUUGCGCAAUGGGCGAAAGCCUGACGCAGCGACGCCGCGUGGGUGAUGAAGGCCU
rnacentral:rRNA from 1 species